rnacentral:sRNA from 1 species
GAAUGUAACAAUGCAACAAUGAAUUGGCAAU